GUAGUCAUAUGCUUGUCUCAAAGAUUAAGCCAUGCAUGUCUAAGUAUAAGCAAUUAUACCGUGAAACUGCGAAUGGCUCAUUAAAUCAGUUAUCGUUUAUUUGAUAAUACCUUACUACUUGGAUAACCGUGGUAAUUCUAGAGCUAAUACAUGCUGAAAAUCCCGACUUCGGAAGGGAUGUGUUUAUUAGAUAAAAAACCAAUGCCCUUCGGGGCUCCUUGGUGAAUCAUAAUAACUUCUCGGACCGCAUGGCCUCGUGCUGGCGGUGCUUCAUUCAAAUAUCUGCCCUAUCAACUGUCGAUGGUAGGAUAGAGGCCUACCAUGGUUGCAACGGGUAACGGGGAAU
rnacentral:rRNA from 1 species